CGGGAUACCCUAUUAGUUUGAUCCUGGGGGGGGGGGGCGGAGCUUGGGCUGGCGGCGAGUGGUGAACGGGUGAGUAAUAUAUCGGAACGUACCCUAGAGUGGGGGAUAACGUAGCGAAAGUUACGCUAAUACCGCAUACGAUCUAAGGAUGAAAGUGGGGGAUUCGCAAGAACCUCAUGCUCGUGGAGCGGCCGAUAUCUGAUUAGCUAGUUGGUAGGGUAAAAGCCUACCAAGGCAUCGAUCAGUAGCUGGUCUGAGAGGACGACCAGCCACACUGGAACUGAGACACGGUCCAGACUCCUACGGGAGGCAGCAGUGGGGAAUUUUGGACAAUGGGCGAAAGCCUUGAGAAUUCCCAGGCCAAUUGCCGCGUGGAGUGGAAGGAAGGCCAUCCGGAUGUAAAGCUUCUUUUUGUCAGGGAAGAAACCGGUUGGUUUCUAAUAACAGAUCACUAAUGACCGGUACCUGAAAGAAAUAAGCACCGGCUAACUACGUGCCAGCAGCCCGCGGUAAUACGUAGGGUGCAAGCGUUAAUCGGAAUUACUGGGCGUAAAGCGUGCGCAGGCGGUUUUGUAAGUCUGUCGUGAAAUCCCCGGGCUCAAACCUGGGAAUUGCGAUGGAGACUGCAAGGCUAGAGUUUGGCAGAGGGGGGUAGAAUUCCACGUGUAGCAGUGAAAUGCGUAGAUAUGUGGAGGAACACCGAUGGCGAAGGCAGCCCCCUGGGUCAAGACUGACGCUCAUGCACGAAAGCGUGGGGAGCAAACAGGAUUAGAUACCCUGGUAGUCCACGCCCUAAACGAUGUCUACUAGUUGUCGGGUUUUAAUUAACUUGGUAACGCAGCUAACGCGUGAAGUAGACCGCCUGGGGGAGUACGGUCGCAAGAUUAAAACUCAAAGGAAUUGACGGGGACCCGCACAAGCGGUGGGAUGAUGUGGAUUAAUUCGAUGCAACGCGAAAAACCUUUACCUACCCUUUGACAUGGGCUGGGAAUCCUUUGAGAGAUCACGGAGUGCUCGAAAGAAGAACCAGUACACAGGUGCUGCAUGGCUGUCGUCAGCUCGUGUCGUGAGAUGUUGGGUUAAGUCCCGCAACGAAGCGCAACCCUGGUCAUUAGAUUGCUACGAAAGGGCACCUCCUAAUGAGACUGCCGGUGACAAACCGGAGGAAGGUGGGGAUGACGUCAAGUCCUCAUGGCCCUUAUGGGUAGGGCUUCACACGUCAUACAAUGGUACAUACAGAGCGCCGCCAACCCGCGAGGGGGAGCUAAUCGCAGAAAGUGUAUCGUAGUCCGGAUUGUAGUCUGCAACUCGACUGCAUGAAGUUGGAAUCGCUAGUAAUCGCGGAUCAGCAUGUCGCGGUGAAUACGUUCCCGGGUCUUGUACACACCGCCCGUCACGCCAUGGGAGCGGUUUUACCUUAACCCCGGCCCCAAAAACGUCGCACCAGGGUCCUCGUAGUUUUCCCCCG
rnacentral:rRNA from 1 species